UACAGAGGUCUCAAGCGUUGUUCGGAUUCAUUGGGCGUAAAGGGUGCGUAGGCGGCGCGGUAAGUCGGGUGUGAAAUCUCGGGGCUUAACUCCGAAACUGCAUUCGAUACUGCCGUGCUUGAGUACUAAAGAGGGUCGCGGAAUUCCCGGUGUAGUGGUGAAAUGCGUAGAUAUCGGGAGGAACACCAGUGGCGAAGGCGGCUUCCUGGCCUGUUCUUGACGCUGAGGCGCGAAAGCUAGGGGAGCAAACGGG
rnacentral:rRNA from 1 species